GUAGGGAAUAUUGGGCAAUGGGGGAAACCCUGACCCAGCAACGCCGCGUGAGGGAAGAAGGCCUAACGGUUGUAAACCUCUGUCAUAUGGGAAGAAGGAAUGACAGUACCAUAUGAGGAAGCUCCGGCUAACUACGUGCCAGCAGCCGCGGUAAUACGUAGGGAGCAAGCGUUGUCCGGAAUUACUGGGCGUAAAGGGUGCGUAGGCGGCAUGUUAAGUUAGAUGUCAAAUACCCGGGCUUAACCCGGGGACGCAUCUAAAACUGGCGUGCGUGAGUGCAGGAGAGGAAAGCGGAAUUCCUAGUGUAGCGGUGGAAUGCGUAGAUAUUAGGAGGAACACCAGUGGCGAAGGCGGCUGCCUGGACCGAUAUUGACGCUGAGACGCGAAAGCGUGGGGAGCAAACAGGAUUAGAAACCCGUGUAGUCC
rnacentral:rRNA from 1 species